rnacentral:tRNA from 2 species
GCGCCCAUAGCUCAAUUGGACAGAGCACUUGUCUUCGGAACAAGCGGUUGGGAGUUCGAGUCUCUCUGGGCGCA